AUUGAACGCUGGCGGAAUGCCUUACACAAUGCAAGUCGAACGGCAGCACGGGGAGCAAUCCUGGUGGCGAGUGGCGAACGGGUGAGUAAUACAUCGGAACGUGCCCAAUCGUGGGGGAUAACGUAGCGAAAGCUACGCUAAUACCGCAUACGAUCUACGGAUGAAAGCAGGGGAUCGCAAGACCUUGCGCGAAUGGAGCGGCCGAUGGCAGAUUAGGAGUUGGUGAGGUAAAGGCUCACCAAGCCUUCGAUCUGUAGCUGGUCUGAGAGGACGACCAGCCACACUGGGACUGAGACACGGGCCCAGACUCCUACGGGAGGCAGCAGUGGGGAAUUUUUGGACAAUGGGCGCAAGCCUGAUCCAGCCAUUCCGCGUGCA
rnacentral:rRNA from 1 species